rnacentral:tRNA from 1 species
GGUCCCGUAGUUCAAUGGAUAGAACGGAGGCCUCCGGAGCCUCAGAUAGUGGUUCGAUUCCACUCGGGACUA